rnacentral:lncRNA from 1 species
AUAUAUUUAUUCAGUUAUUUAUUAUUUUGAUAAAGAGUCUAUUACUUUAUUAUAGGUGUGACCUGGGUAUCAAAUCAACUGUUAUAUUUAUUGUUCAUAUUUUCUGAAUUGAUGUUUAAUUGCACCUUACAUGAAUUUUAGUUAUUGUUCUAAGGAUGGGGCAGCAUGACAGGUAUAUCAAUAGAAAUGCCUUGCUUAAAGAUCCCCCCCACCCCUUGAAGAGUUUACAGCCUAAACCAUACCAAGGUUGUAUGGAUGUUUGUUUGUUAUUUGCCUAUAUGGUCUUUGUCCUAUGUAAACAUAUUUACUUAAAAACAAUCCUACUAAACUUCAAUAAAUGCAUAUAUGAACAAAAUAACACAGUUACCCCAGUGCUGUCCUGUUAAGUUACACAUAGUCAAUGGUUUCACAUUGAAUUUAUGAAGAUCUUCUAAAAAUGGGUAACUGUUAUUACAGGUAUUUAAUGAUAAAUGUAAAACCUGUUUUGGAAUGUUACAAGGACAUUAUUAUAUUUUAAUAAGGCUUUAAAAGAUAAUAUACAAAAUAAAUAAAUGCAAGUAAUAAGCUAUAUAUAUAUACUAACAUUGAAAGCUGUUGGAUUUGCUGCGACUCCACAAGAUUUGCAGCUUAUGUAGCGAGCUCUCACCAAAGCAGAAGGUAGUUCGGCCAAACGUAAUGCUUAUUUAACCUUCUAUAGCAGUGCUAUAAAUUCCUUCCAAAUAGUGCUGUAUGUGCAUAGCUGGGAAUUCAAUGAGUUAUAGUUCAAUUGUCACAAUUAAUGACAUGCAGGGUUAUUCACUUAAAGGGACACUCAAGUGCCAGGAAAACAAAUCAUUUUCCUGGCACUGCAGGUCCCCUCUCCCUCCCACCCCCCAUCCCAUGUUGCUGAAGGGGUUAGAACCCCUUCAGUGACUUACCUGAGACCAGCGCCGAUGUCCUUUGGCGCUGGUUUAGGGUCCGCCCACGCUCCUCCCCGGCGGGGGAGACCGAUUGUGCAUGCGCUGUCGCGCACACGCAUUAGACCUCUCCAUAGGAAAGCAUUGAAAAUGCUUUACAAUGAGGAUUUUAGCGACGCUGGAGGUCCUCACAUAGUGUGAGGACAUCCAGCGACGCUAUAGCACAGAAAACCUGUGGUAUAAACCAGGAAGUGCCCUCUAGUGGCUGUCUAGUAGACCGCCACUAGAGAAGGAGUUAACCCUGCAAUGUAAAUAUUGCAGUUUAUGAAAACAGCAAUAUUUACAGUUGCAGGGUUAAGGGUAGUGGGAGUUGGCACCCAGACCACUCCAAUGGGCAGAAGUGGUCUGGGUUCCUGGAGUGUCCCUUUAAGUGAGAAUUCACAGUGAAUUUUACAUUUAAGACCAAAGUAGCUGAGCUGAAAUCAUAGGAGAUGAUUUUUACAGUUCCAGUAAUUUACCUUACAUUUGAAGUUCACUUUGAAUUUUCACUUUAGUGAAUAAUCCUGUUAAAGUAUGCUAUAUUAUUGGAGCAAAAUAGGAAACACUGUCGGUUCAGGAUGGGUUGAGGGAUUGAAAAUGAACUAAUUCCUGAUUGAUUGAUUGAUAAGAAUUCUUGAUGUUAAUGGAGGAAAAUACAUUUAAAUAUUAUCAACUCAUUCACCAAAAAGAAAUAACUGAUCAAGUGGCAAUCUAGAAAAUAGAUAGAAGGGUGGAAAUUUAAAUAAAUGUAUGGUUUGAACAGUCCAUUACUCCUUUUUAUGCAUUUUCCAUAUAUUUUAAUGGAGAAAGUUUUUUUUUUUUUUUUCUCCAUGUAUGCUGCUAACAUGACAAAUUUGAAGUAUUUUAAGCAGUAAGUUUUUAAAGGGACACUCCAGACUCCUAUAGCACUUUAGUGGUUAACGUGUGUACUUUUUUUUUGUUUUACAAAAAGUUCAGUUUUCAGUAGAAAUCGGGACAUUUAUAAAUUAACCUUGUUACACCUCCCCUCAGAUGUCAAUCAGGUAGCAGGUCCUGCAACUGCCUACUCAGGGGGGCUCAAGAGGCAGAAAUUUCCCAGAGCACCUGCCUUGCAUAGUUUUCUCAUUGAGUUGCAUUUUGAAGUCUGUGAUUGGACAGCCAUAGAAAGUCUGGACUGGGGAAGAAGGGGACAACAGAUCUGCAGCUUUGUGCAAGCUGUUUUUAGAUAUACCCCAAUGAAAAAAUGCAUAAUUAAAUACAUUAAAUUUUUCAUUCAGGUUUUUUUUUUUUAGUGAACAGUCAUUUAUAUUUAUUUCUAUUUCUUGGAGGAGUGUAAUAGAAACUCAUCCCCAUGCAUUUUCUCCUUGUUGGACUGCAAGCACUAUAGGGGAACACUAUAGGGUCAUUAAAACAAAAAGGUGCUCCCCAUGCGCUUCCUUGGUGACAUUAUCUAAAUUGCCGAUUUUUAGCCAAUCCGAGGCUUUCCCAUAGGGGGCGUGGCCAAACACCAUUUUGGUCAAAGAGCACCUUCUCAUAGAAUCAAUCAUUGAAUCAAUGCAUCUCUAUGAGUAAAAUUCAGCUUCUCCAUGCAGAGCAAUGUAAACACUGUCUUGUCUCUGAAAAGGCAGUGUUUGCAUAAAAAUGCCUGAAGGGAAUGAUUAUACUCACCAGAACAUUAAGCUGUAGUUGUUCUGGUGACUAAAGUGUCCCUUUAAGGUUUAGUCAAUUAACAUGGAAUUACUGUAACAAACAAAUUGUGAAAAUCAGACUAAAUAGCUGUGGUUAUAGCUUACCUGGAGACUUUUAUGCAGUUUGCGUUUCAAUCCACUACAAUUAGCUGUUUGGCGAAUUAAUGCCAGAAUGUCUUCAGCUUGUUUAUUUAUUUAUUUUUUAAUAUAAUUUUAUUAUUAAAAAGAAAGAAGGAAAGAUUGAUUAUUUUUUUUUAUUACUACUUAUAUGACUAUCCAUGCAUUCAGAAUAUUUAAACCAAGAACAAAAAGUGAAUUACAUUUCAUUUUAAUUAGUAAUGUCUCCUAAUUAAUCAUGAGAAGAAUCACGUUUCCACACAUUUCAGUGCCUAUUUUAACUGAUGUGAUACUUUACCGUUUGUUUUGUUCCACCUGUUCAUUGCAUAUGUUGUUUGAUUUUACAUUUUCUUAUCUAUUUGUGGCAUUUGUUAUAUGGUCAUUUUACUGCAUUUGCUAUUUUAUGGCAAGAAAAUGAAUGAUAAAACUUUCGAUCUGUAAUACAUUUUCUAUUUGAUCCUUUGGUGAUUGAAGAGCGAAAUAAAUAUUUUAAGGCCUCCUGCAAUUUUACUAGUUGUGUGAUAUCCAAAAGCUUGUCAGUUAGAUUCAAAACCUCAAUGAUUGUAAAUCCCAUUUGUUAAAAAUAUCUGAUCUGACAAUAUCACCCCUUCAAUACAAUACUGUGAAAAUAUAAACUUUGGUCAAUAAUAUUAAUAUUGCCUGAAAUGCUGAGAUCCUGUCGCUAUUAUAUUUCAGAAUGUUUGUGUAUUAGGUUCCCAGCCUAUAAAAAGAUUUUAUCUCAGAACUUUCAGGACUCCAGGUAGUUGUACUAAUAUGUAGUGAUCUUAUUACCAUCACUGAAAAUAUAGGUCAGAAUACAAUGAAAUAAUUUGAGACUGGUCUAAUUUGUAAACGUUGAAGUGCUGAUUAGUAGAUAUACUCCCAAGCCUCCCUGUGCUAUAUUAAAACUGCACAUCUAUUUAUAUAAUGAAAAGUCAGCCUAGAAGUCUUGGGGAAAUGCAAUUGCCUCAGUUCUGUUGAAGGAAAUGAAUGAAUGAGACUCAUUUGGUAAGCAAACCACUAAGAAUGGGUAUGUGUGCAUGCCACUCAGAUUCACUACUUACCUACGCAGCUUUAUUAUUUGGCAGCGCACGUCUUAUUGAUUGUUGUUUUUAUUUAUUUUUAUUUUAGUUACUAUAUCACUGAUUUAUUUAUCUAUUUAUAUUUUAAAUGAGUUAAUUAUAUCACGGUUGUGUCUGUUUACACUACUCUGUAAUCUUUAAAUCAGAUUCAUACUACUGUUUCUGUUCACAUUUCAAUAUUUAUUGAUUUUCUUUGUAUUUUUUUUAAAAUCUCUGUGGAUUAUGGAUUAACCAAAAGGCAAUCAAUGGGUAAAACGGUUUCCCCAAAUCUGGGUGCCACCUGCAGUGGCACCACAAUAUAGAAUUGUUCUGAUAGCACAUUUGAGAUAUAUAACAGGUGUGUGAGAUAGACAAUACAUGCACUGACAUGCAGAUAACAUGGGGAAAUAAAUGUAUAUCUGUGUGUACAUUUACUGUAUUUCGGUAAAUUUUAAUAUUAUUGCCCUAAUUUAUUUGCUAAACAAGGAGUUCACAAGGAUGUUUCAAAAUAACAAGAGCAAAGUUGGUAAGCAUACACAGACUCCCCUGAAUUGGAGACGUCUGUCUUUCAACUUACCACAACUCCUUGAGUUAUAUUAAGCUGUACAUGUGGACAUAAUUGGCCUUCCAGCUGUUGGGAACUGCAUUUCCCUGCACCUCGCAGGUGUACAAUUAUUAUUUUAUAUGCAUUUUCCUGCAGAGUAAAUUUUAGACCAAAAUAGCCAGAUUUGAUUAAUUUUCUUUGAAUUAAUGAAAAUUCACACUUUCUUUUUUGCACAUGGUCAGUACCAGAAACCAUCAAGUCAAAUAUGAAAGGUCUUAGUCAUCCAAGCAACUCAAAAGCUUGAAUAUGGAAAGUUAUGGCAAUUUAUCAGUGGAGUUGCAAAAUGGAGGCCUAAUUAGCGAAGCUGGAAACAUAGGCCAUGUUGAGGAUUGCGGUCUAGAUUUUAUUCACUUGGCAGUUCACCACAAUUUCCUGUCUCGUGAAUUCAUUCCUUGUGAAUUCCUAUGUGAAUUUCUUGCACUUUUCUCACUUUGGUUUUCUGUUUACACAUUAAGAUCUUGUUUGUCAGAGUGAGAUAUUUAUUAAAGUAAAUCAUAAAUGUUAUUUAUUUGCACUUUAUGACAUUUUUGUUUUGUACUUUUGAUCACCUGUAUGAAACUGUUUGUUC